AGUGGGGAAUUUUGGACAAUGGGCGAAAGCCUGAUCCAGCAAUGCCGCGUGAGUGAAGAAGGCCUUCGGGUUGUAAAGCUCUUUUGUCAGGGAAGAAACGGUGAGGGCUAAUAUCCUUCGCUAAUGACGGUACCUGAAGAAUAAGCACCGGCUAACUACGUGCCAGCAGCCGCGGUAAUACGUAGGGUGCAAGCGUUAAUCGGAAUUACUGGGCGUAAAGCGUGCGCAGGCGGUUUUGUAAGUCUGACGUGAAAUCCCCGGGCUCAACCUGGGAAUUGCGUUGGAGACUGCAAGGCUAGAAUCUGGCAGAGGGGGGUAGAAUUCCACGUGUAGCAGUGAAAUGCGUAGAGAUGUGGAGGAACACAGAUGGCGAAGGCAGCCCCCUGGGUCAAGAUUGACGCUCAUGCACGAAAGCGUGGGGAGCAAA
rnacentral:rRNA from 1 species